AAAUCCUUUUAUUAUAUUCAACAAAUAAUAUUGCAUAGUGGGAGUGAGUGAAAAAGAUGGCUAUCAGCUUUAUCAUCUAUAUCAUCAUCAUGAUCAAAAAUCUCUGCUGCAUUCGUAAUGGUGACCUGGUCAGAAUAAUACCAAAAACAAAGCUCCUAAAUUCUAGUUUUUCUUCCUCAGUUUAUCUUCAAGUCUUCUACCAAUACCAUUGGUGUGUUUUUCUGUCUACCCAUUUCUUGAUUAUUUUGUUUGCUAAUGGUUGGAGGGUUUUGCUUGCUCUUUUAGUUGGAGAUGUUUCAUAGUUCUGGUGGGUUUUCCAUUCUUGGGAUGCCUAUAUUAAGAACUUUCACUUUUGGAGCUUUUUUGCUUGUGUGGCUGUGUUGGUCUCCUCUCCUCAUUGGAGCACAAGAUGGCAUUACUCAUCCUUCAGAAGUGAGUGCAUUGCGGGAUAUCAAGAGCAGUUUGAUUGAUAUCAACAAAAAU
rnacentral:misc_RNA from 1 species